AAGUAACAGAAAAACCAGUGGAAAAUUGAUUUUCGAAACAAAAUUCCCGCUGGCUAAACAACACGCGAUGCGGCAUUUCGGAGCAUCGUUACACAUUUAUUUUUGUUUUUUUCUUUUUUCUUCUCAUUUCUUUCAAUUUCUCCCGUUUCGCAUCGUUUUGGAGGGAAUUUCAAAUGAAAUUUGAUAGAAAUGGCGAUGAAAU
ensembl:ncRNA Y54G2A.58 ncRNA